CUACGGGACGCACCAGUGAGGAAUAUUGCACAAUGGAGGAAACUCUGAUGCAGCAACGCCGCGUGGAGGAUGACGCAUUUCGGUGUGUAAACUCCUUUUAUAUGUCAAGAAAAUGACGGUAGCAUAUGAAUAAGCACCGGCUAACUCCGUGCCAGCAGCCGCGGUAAUACGGAGGGUGCAAGCGUUACUCGGAAUCACUGGGCGUAGAGGACGCGUAGGCGGGAUAUCAAGUCAGGUGUGAAAUCCUACAGCUUAACUGUAGAACUGCACUGGAAACUGGUAACCUAGAGUAUGGGAGGGGGAGAUGGAAUUCGUGGUGUAGGGGUAAAAUCCGUAGAUAUCACUAGGAAUACCUAAAGCGAAGGCGAUCUCCUGGAACAUAACUGACGCUAAGGCGUGAAAGCGUGGGGAGCAAACAGGAUUAGAUACCCCUGUAGUC
rnacentral:rRNA from 1 species